UACGUAGGUGGCAAGCGUUGUCCGGAAUUAUUGGGCGUAAAGCGCGCGCAGGCGGUUCCUUAAGUCUGAUGUGAAAGCCCCCGGCUCAACCGGGGAGGGUCAUUGGAAACUGGGGAACUUGAGUACUGAAGAGGAAAGCGGAAUUCCACGUGUAGCGGGUGAAAUGCGUAGAGAUGUGGAGGAACACCAGUGGCGAAGGCGCUUCUGGUCAGUAACUGACGCUGAGGCGCGAAAGCGUGGGGAGCAAACAGG
rnacentral:rRNA from 1 species